rnacentral:other from 1 species
GGUCACCUGAAAUGCGCGGUGCUCUCGUUUUUGGACCACCAUUCUUUGAAGGGGAGUCCGGGUCGAAGUGGAAUACGAACAGGCCUUUCGGAGGAAGUUCCAAGACCACCGCAGGGCACCCACCUGGCGUGAGGCUGGGUAUCAAAAAGGGAGUCCGCCAUUUCGGGUUUCCU